GCUUGGCCCUAAACCUCAGUAGUUAGAUAACAAAACUACUCGCCAGAAUACUACGAGCUACAGCUUAAAACUCAAAGGACUUGACGGUGCCUUACACCCCCUAGAGGAGCCUGUUCCGUAAUCGAUAAACCCCGAUCCACCCCACCCUCUCUUGCUCAGCCUAUAUACCGCCAUCUUCAGCAAACCCCAAUGAAGGUCACAAAGUGAGCGCAAACGCCACCACCGCGAAUACGUUAGGUCAAGGUGUAGCCUAUGAGAUGGUAAAAAAUGGGCUACAUUUUCUACCUCAGAAAAUUCCACGAAAGCCCUUAUGAAAUUUAAGGACCCAAGGAGGAUUUAGCAGUAAAUUAAGAAUAGAGUGCUUAAUUGAACUAGGCCAUAAAGCGCGC
rnacentral:rRNA from 1 species